rnacentral:lncRNA from 1 species
AUCGCAUUCACGAACUCAACCCAGGGAGUAUAUAAGCCAAUGAGUGCAUGCCCUUGCCAUCAACCAUGAGCCAUCGAGCCCCGUUCCUAAACGAAAGCUCAUGGGGUAGCCGAAGACUUCGUUGAUGAGCAGAGAGAAAAAUUGCUAUGUGUUGCCACCGUUCCAAUUUGGAAGCAUGCAGUCACCGAGGCGAGAAGACCGUGCGCAAGGCGUCUUCGAGCAUGGAGAACCCCAAGAAACAACAGGAAUUGCUCGGCGGAGUUCGUUCUUCAUCGUCGCCAAGCUGCUGCGCAGACGAUCCGUCCUCCACGGAGGUUUGGGGGCGCCACCACAUAUUUGCUUCUGGUCUGAGGCUUUGAAGAAUCACGGAUGCAUAAGGAUCAUACCUACGACGUUGUUGGGGAUCGAGAAUUGAUCGGUGACCAGGAACCGCUCACCGGCGUUGUUGCACCUCCCCGGAUUUUCGGAGUGUCGUGGACAGAGCUCUACGUUGCGUCUACAUAGGUGAGUACCUGCCAGUCAUGUUUGCCUCGUCCUUUGCUUCGGGUAGCACCAGUCAGCUCGGAGUUGGGAGCCCGGGACCACUGUGCAGGGCUUCGCCGGUUAGGCUCCGUCGCUCGGCGUGGUGGCGUCGCCACCCUGCUCCUAUCUCUGUUGGGAGGUAGGAGACGGAUCCCUGGUCGUUGGAUCGUGGGGGUGAGGGUUAGGAUUAGAGCUGGGUGUCCUGGUCAUGGAGAAAAUCAGGACCAUUGAUAUGUAGAUGGACGGUCGGGAUUAGAAGGUCAAUAAACUCUCGUGUUUUACAGCCUGGGUCGUAGAUCUUUAAGGCCUUGUUCGGUUACAUCGGAUUGUACCCGGAAUCGUUCCGGCUAAUCAAAGUUUAUAUAAAUUAGAGAAGCAAUCCGACUCGGAAUCGUUCCGACCUACCAAUCCGACACAAACGAACAAGGCCUAAGGGCUCGUUCGUUUGUACAGGAUUAGACCAGGAUUCAUUCCAACUUAUCAAAACCUACAUAAAUUAGAUAAACAAUCCGGCCAGGAACCGUUCCAGGCCUUCAAUCCGUGAAAAACGAACAAGCCCUAAUCUGGUGGUCCAUAUCAUGUACCGUUUCACUUAAAGACCAUCUAAUCUGCGUCAUAGAUAUGGAUCCAACAGCUCGGAAUCAGGGAUACCCGUUCAUCCAGGCAACUUUGCAUAAGGGCCCCUGGGCUUCUAGAGAACCAACCCACGAUCCACGGUAGUGCCAGGAACAUUACAUCUAGGUCCUGAACUUUACAGAGUAGACCCUGGAUUUCAAAAAAAAUUAUGGUCGCGGUCCAUAAAUCCCUAGUUAUUGGUAAAAUUACUUCGAAAAUGAUUUUUAAUGCAAAAGUAAUUCUAAAAACCAUCGGAAAUGCAUGACUAAUUCAUUUUAACUCCUUUUUGACCCAUUCUAGUUGUGUUAGUUUCGUAAUAAAAUUUCCUACACAUUACAAGUACUAAUUAUGACAUCUCGCAUACCUUUAUAAUUAGAUAGUUAUUUAAUCUAUGAUUGUUUGACUAACCCCUAAUAAAGGUUAAUUUGUCCAUAGUUACGAUUUAACUAAAUUAAGAUUUGUUACCUCGAAUAAAUCCAUUAAUACUGUUUAAUAUAAUGCUCACAUGAAUCAUAGUAACAUAUGAGUCAUUCUCACUAUUUUAUCGCCCACAACUUUGGAAAAUCGUAUCUUUUAACCGAAACUCCGAAUUCGGUGGUUCUCGAACUUGCGCUCUCGUAGCAACGCUUAGAAUAUUCUUACAUAGUUUGUUCUCAUGUUUGGUGUAAUGUUAUUUUUAUGUACUCCUUGUCUAUGUGUAUGUGUUGCUAUGUGUAGCAGCGAGGUUACGAGAAAUCCGAAGACCAAUUUGGUGAAGUACCUGGGAAUCUCAAGUCACAGACAAGUUGUGCUCUUGAUCACUCUUAUUUACCUAAUAAUGUUCCUGUUAGUCACUAUAACAUGCUCAGGUUAAUUUGAUGGGACCUAAUAGGUUUCCCUAGUAUUGUUUAUCCCACACCUUGUUUGCUACUAAACUUUUGGGUAGUAUAUGCUAUUGUUCUACCGGGUUUUGGGAUUAAUGUUACAACUGAAUUAUGAUCAUGUUCCAAUUUUGCUGUUGUUUUAAUUAUUGCUCAUUACAAGAUCAUUGUGUUAAUUAGAACAUGGAGCUUAACUUGAGAAAACAGUGUUGCCACAAGGAUGGUAUGGGACGCCCUUGGCUGACUAAUUAGGAAAGCUAGUGGAGGACUACUUUACCCGAAAGAGGCAAGGGCGCUAGGGGAGUUGUUGGUAUAGGGAUGUUCUCGGGUUGGUCAUGCUACGAUGGCUUUUCAGACGAGGGAUUCCUAUAUCGCUCUCCUCAGAAACCGUAGCGGGUUUUCUGAAGCUAGUGGAACUUUGUAAAGGCAUCGUAGUGCUACCCUACCUCGUCUCCUCGGUAGAGAUGAAUGGAAGUCACGAUCCCUUGGCAAAUGGGUAACACAACUUGUGUGUAAAGGGCACAACCUCUGUAGAGUGUAAAACUGGUAUAUCAGUCAUGCUCACGGUCAAGAGUGACUCAGGACUAUCGCAUGAUUAACUUAUGGAACUAAACUCAAUAUGUCAUAUCUAUUGCAUUGUGGGUGUUAUUAUUAAUUAUGAUAUCUUAUUUACUUGGGUUGGUAUCUACUUAUACUUAGUAACUGCUAAGAAAAUUUUAACCAACUCUAAAAGCAAUGCUUAGCUUUAACCAUCUUCGUUGGUAAGCCUUACACUUCACAUGAGCCCCACCGUAAAUGAGCUCAUGCACAUUAAUCCCCACAACUUGUUGAGCGAUGAACAUAUGUGAGCUCACCCUUGUUGUACUCACAUCCCCCCAGGUCAAGGACAGGUACCACAAGAUAAGGAGCAUGAAGGAUGCAGCGAUGAGUUCAUGAGAGGUCUAGGCCGUCAUCUCCCAGUUAACUAUGGUUGCGGGGGAUUGUUAUCUUCUUAUGAUGUAAUUAUUUAGUUAUUUUUUAUAGAACUUCUAUUAUAUAGUAAAGAUGUGAC